rnacentral:rRNA from 1 species
AGCGAACGCUGGCGGCAGGCCUAACACAUGCAAGUCGAACGGACCCUUCGGGGUUAGUGGCGGACGGGUGAGUAACACGUGGGAACGCGCCUUUAGGUUCGGAAUAGCUCCUGGAAACGGGUGGUAAUGCCGAAUGUGCCCUUCGGGGGAAAGAUUUAUCGCCUUUAGAGCGGCCCGCGUCUGAUUAGCUAGUUGGUGAGGUAAUGGCUCACCAAGGCGACGAUCAGUAGCUGGUCUGAGAGGAUGACCAGCCACAUUGGGACUGAGACACGGCCCAAACUCCUACGGGAGGCAGCAGUGGGGAAUUUUGCGCAAUGGGCGAAAGCCUGACGCAGCCAUGCCGCGUGGAUGAUGAAGGUCUUAGGAUUGUAAAAUCCUUUCACCGGUGAAGAUAAUGACUGUAGCCGGAGAAGAAGCCCCGGCUAACUUCGUGCCAGCCGCCGCCGUAAUAC